GCCACGCGCUGUGGCUCAUGCCUGUAGUCCCAGCUACUCGGGAGGCUGAGGCUGGAGGAUCGCUUAAGCCCAGGAGUUCUGGGCUGUAGUGUGGUAUGCUGAUCAGGUGUCCGCACUAAGUUCGGCAUCAAUAUGGUGACCUCUUGGGAGCCAGGGACCACCAGGUUGCCUAAGGAGGUGUGAACUGGCCCAUAUUGGAAAUGGAGCAGGUCAAAACUCCUAUGCUGAUCAGUAGUGGGAUUGUGCCUGUGAAUAGCCACUGUACUCCAGCCUGGGCAAUAUAGUCAGACCCUGUCUCUU
ensembl:misc_RNA Metazoa_SRP Metazoan signal recognition particle RNA